UAUCAGGAAAACGACGGAGGAGCAGUUCACUGAAACACGCAGUUGUUGUCGCCAAGCAAAUAUUUACCACACGAACGGAAUGCACGCCCAGUUGGACUGAACAGCAUUACUUUACAAUAUGAAGAGAGUACAGUAUGCUCAAAGGGGAACUACAAACAUUCAGGUUGAAGUUCACCAUCAAGAAGAGAAAAACUCAGAAUGCUGUACAGUAUUUGAGUCCUCAAGAUCAUCUCACAGGAGGAGCCGUAUCAGGAGGGAUGCUUAACAGGAGGUGCGCCCCCUAGUGCCAUACUGCAGGUAAGCAGGUGCGACUUGGUGGCUGUUGGUGCUGGAACACAAUGGCAGCAUUUAUCAUGAAGCAAAAACUGCUAUAGAGGUUCCAGAAUUGAAAUUUACGACAGUGGGAAUCAUUUGUCAGUCCACCCUUUGUAUAUGGAGAACAAUAUAUAAUGCAUAUAUAUGCAUGUUCAUGUAAACAUGUAAGGCGACUCCUAUAACCCCCACAUUCAGAUCUAAAGCACAUUUCACUGUGUGAAUAGAUAUUA